rnacentral:rRNA from 1 species
GACGUAGGGCGCGAGCGUUGUCCGGAUUUAUUGGGCGUAAAGAGCUCGUAGGCGGCUUGUCGCGUCGUUCGUGAAAACCUGCAGCUCAACUGCAGGCUUGCGGUCGAUACGGGCAGGCUAGAGUCGGUAGGGAGUGUGGAAUUCCCGGUGUAGCGGUGAAAUGACGCAGAUAGUCGGAGGAACACCGGUGGCGAAGGCGGU